ensembl:lncRNA
GCCAAAAUGCCAUAAAUGUAAAUGUGGUAAAGUGAAUGUAAUAUACAUACUCAUUUAAUGUACAUAAUUAGAAAUCUGCUGUACCCUAAAUAAGUUAUAAAGAUAUCCAUCCAUCCAUUUUCUGUACUGCUUAUCCUACACAGGAUCACAGGGGAGCCUGGAGCUUAUCCCAGGGAACUCAGAGCACGAUGCAGGGGCCACCCAUCACAGGGUAAAAUUGCACACAGACCCAUUCACACUCUACGGACAAUUUGGAAACCUCAAUCAGCCUACAACGUGUGUCUUUGGACGGGGUUAAGAAACCAGAGUACCUGUAGGAAACCCAGGGUUCGGAAGAACCGGCGGGAUUCGAAACCUGGAGGUGUGAGACCUUUGUUCCUGAGUUGUUUUGAUGCAUGGUCUUCAUGAUGCUGUUUGCUUCAGUAUGUUCUCUAACAAACUGUGGGACCUUCCAGGAACAGGUAUUUAUAUUGAGAUUAC